CCCAGCCGGGUAGAAAACAGAGAUGGAGCCUACUCCACCUGACUAGUGAGGUCCAGAAGUUUCGUUCUCCAGAUUCGGUACAGUGAGACUACCUGCCGGAGGUGUUUCAGAGCUAUUUGAGGAGCAGGGAUGCCCACGAGUUCCAUCCUUACUUUGUGUUUCCUUUUAGUUAUUAGCGAUGCUGUUGGAUGAGGCUUAGCCGUUUCAUAUGAAAGAAAAAGAAUUUGCUCUUAGGGAUCCGGGAGCAGCAGUACAAUCGCGGUGUUUUUUAUUUUAAAUAGGACUCUUCACAGUGUUAUUUUUGACCGGCGAACCUUCGGGUUCUUUUAAAGUUAUAUUUUUGUUUAUAUUCCUGGGUGAGCGGAAGGGAGAGGACGGGAGGAGCUUCCUGUGUGCCUGCCUGCAGGUGCACCAAUGCUCAGCAGAGGGCACUGAAUGCUGGGGAAACAUGCUUGUGAGCUGCCUGAAGAGGAAAUCAAUCUUUCAGGUUAAAGGGCAGCAAGAGUUCUUAACUGCUGAACCAUCCCUCCAGCCCCUUGUCCCUCUUUGAUCUUUGCUCUGAGGGGGAGGAGAGAAGAAUUGGGGGAUUUGAAACCCUCUUCCUGAACUUUAAGCAACACAUUGAUACCUGCAUGUAUGGCACAACUGAAGCAACAGCAACAUUUCCCUGUCCUGUGGGAAUGGCCUCGCGGACUAGUAAGGCCACUUUCUUGCUCCUAGCACCUUGCAUCUGAUGCUUCGUUCUCAAGGAAAAUCUCUUAAGACUCUCUUCUGGCUGUGGCCAGUUUCUGGAAUCCCUGAUUGGUUUAGUCAGAGCUCGUGGAAAUCACUAUUACUAAUAGGCAUGGGCAAGUACAUGUUGUGUCAUCUGGGACUCUAGCAUUGGAAUUCAUGGGGCAUCUUGUAACAGGAGGCCUGGACUGAGUACUGUAACUGAACUCUGAGGUUCUAACACGCUCCCAACAAGAGUAAUGAUGGAACUGUAGGGUUUAAUCCAAAUGCAAAAUGCCCAUGUGAGGAAUACAGAAAUUAAUCCAGUCUUUUAGAAAACUGACAUCAGCUUGAGUUUAAGUUGAGGAACAAUUUGUGCAGGACCCAGAGGGCUUCCUGACUAAGUGCUGUCAUCUGACUGUGCUAUAGGAGAUCAUCAUCUCAGUUCCUGUUCUUCCAGGUGGUUUGAAGAAGUCCGACUGUUUGAGAGAACCUUCUGGUUCCCUAAUUCUGCCCCUACUUAAGGCUAAAGCCAUGUUGCAAUCUGAAACAUGAGCUUGAGGUCACUGGAUCCUGUUGUUGAUUGGUCUUCCUGGCACAUUGGUUAAAUUUCUGCAUGGCAAUGAAGUUUGGCUGGUCCCCCACAAAGGAAAAGAGUCAGAGAAUGUAGACAGGCUGACAGUUUGUCAGUGUCAUCAGUUUGGAAAGUUGUCCUUGGCAGUGUUCUGAAGAAGUGUCCUUCCCAAUCCUUGAACUGUUCUAACCUUUGCCUGAAGGCUAAACUCUAAAAGACAGGCCCCAACUAGGGGAUUAUCAUGUUGACUGCCAAAUCUUUCUCUGUAUUCACAAGGCCCAGAAAAUCUGGUGUGCUUUGUAAGCCCCUCCUGAAUCUGCACGAAGUCUGAGUCCAUUUCAGUCUUCUGGACAGAGACAAAGGAAGGAAAAGUAUAAUAUGACUGCUAACUUGCUCAGCACCCUUUACCUACCCACCCUGCAUCCCAACAUGUCAUGUGGAAAAGUCCUCAUUUUUUAUAUUGAGAAGGGUUUUUUGUUUGUUUGAUUAAUUUUUGAUUUUUCAGUGAAGUCAUUUUCUUUGUGUCAAUACCUUUUUCUCUACACUUACCAGGCUGUUGUAAGAAAUAAACUGAGAAACAUUU
rnacentral:sRNA from 1 species